rnacentral:rRNA from 1 species
UAAAUCACAAUGCGGAACAAUGUUUUGCAAUUGGAUUGAGAACAACGUACAAACCUUAUCGAUAAACAAUUGGAGGGCAAGUCUGGUGCCAGCAGCCGCGGUAAUUCCAGCUCCAAUAGCGUAUAUUAACGUUGUUGCAGUUAAAAAGCUCGUAGUUGAAAUGAAGGGUAGUUGUGUAAUGAAUACAUUCGUGUAUUUUGUUAUUCUACUACCCUCCUUCUAAAUUCGAUAUAUGAGUAUUAAUUUACUUGUAUAUGGUUUUAGACAUUUACUGUGAGAAAAUUAGAGUGUUCAAAGCAGGCAUUUGCUUGAAUAUAUUAGCAUGGAAUAAUCAUGUAUGAUUUUCAUGAUGUAUUUGAUUGGUUUGGUUCAUGAGAAUAAGAUUAAAAGGGACAGUUGGGGGUAUUCAUAUUCAAUAGUCAGAGGUGAAAUUCUC